AGGAUAAACGCUGGCGGCGUGCUUCAGGCAUGCAAGUCGAACGGGCCACUUCGGUGGUCAGUGGCGGACGGGUGAGUAACACGUAAGUAACCUGCCCGGAAGUGGGGAAUAACCCGCUGAAAGGCGAGCUAAUACCGCAUGUGAUGGUCUUUCUACGGAUCGAUCAUUAAAGGCUUAGGUCGCUUCCGGAGGGGCUUGCGGCCGAUUAGUUAGUUGGUGGGGUAACGGCCUACCAAGACAGCGAUCGGUAGCUGGUCUGAGAGGACGGACAGCCACACGGGGACUGAGAUACGGCCCCGACUCCUACGGGAGGCAGCAGCUAGGAAUCUUGGGAAUGGGCGAAAGCCUGACCCAGCAACGCCGCGUGGGCGAUGAAGGCCUUCGGGUCGUAAAGCCCUUUUGCAGGGGAAGAUGAUGACGGUACCUUGCGAAUAAGCCACGGCUAACUACGUGCCAGCAGCCGC
rnacentral:rRNA from 1 species